AUGAAGUGGGCGCAUCGUCACAACACGAAAACUGAACCGUUCUUGAAACUCUUUUCUGUUCAUUUGAACUCAUCUGUACCCUCAGCUAUCUUGCUUUCCACAGACAGCGCCACGUGCCAAGAGCAUCCUUCCGUUACAGCAACCCUGGGCUUCCCACUUUCUCAGUUCUCGCAGUGCUCAGUCAUAUUUUACAGGGAGAAAGGGUACAAAGCGAAGAGAACCCCAAGUAAUAUCUACCCACCGAGGCUGCCCAUCUCCGCCAGCCAACUGCACAUGCUGUUCUCCUUAAGGGAUUAUUCGCAUUCGUCAGCCCACAGGACUCAGCUGACUUCCCACCCUGUGGGACACCUUCUGUGACCUGCCCAAUGGUGCCAUAACUCCCUUGCCUGCCCCUGCAGAACCCGACAUGUGUUCCAUCAGUGAGCUGGUACCACUGCAUUUCCCUUGCCUUAUCCUAGCUCUCUGUAGACCACAUGUGUCUUGUUCUCAGUUAUAUCCCUACCAUCUGGUGCCAUCUUGAGCACAUAGUAGCAGCACAGUAAAUUAAGCC
rnacentral:lncRNA from 1 species